rnacentral:rRNA from 1 species
UACGUGGGGGGCAAGCGUUGUUCGGAAUUACUGGGCGUAAAGGGCUCGUAGGUGGCCAACUAAGUCAGACGUGAAAUCCCUCGGCUUAACCGGGGAACUGCGUCUGAUACUGGAUGGCUUGAGUUCGGGAGAGGGAUGCGGAAUUCCAGGUGUAGCGGUGAAAUGCGUAGAUAUCUGGAGGAACACCGGUGGCGAAGGCGGCAUCCUGGACCGAUACUGACGCUGAGGAGCGAAAGCCAGGGGAGCAAACGGG